UUCCACAGGCUGCCACCUUCACUGCUUAUCCUGCAACUCCCCAACUCCAGACCACACAGAGCCCAUGAUGGGACACAGUCAGCCUGUGCUCUCUAAUGAUGGACCUUUCAUGUAAGCUUUCGGGGGGGAAAGAAAGAGAAAAUAAGAAAAGAGCAAACUGAAAGACGCUUGGGGAUAACAAGGGAGUCUAAAGAGAUUCACCAGAGAAACCAGACUAAUGAACGCAGGAGGCUUCCCAGAGGACCCUGGGUUUUGCUGUCCAGGAGCCACAAAUAUUCACUUCACUCGACUCCAUGGCCCAGCACCUCCAUUCCAUGAGAGACAUGAUUAUUUCAGCAAUGAAACCUACCAAAUGUUAAAAAUGACUCACAAGGCAGCGAGCGGCACGGAGAUUGGAUUGUGAGAGCUUCGGGAUGGAAAAGGUGACUUUUGGUGGACUCCUCGAUGGCUCCUGGAUGGGUCCAGUCCCCAGAAAGACCAAGCCAUGAUGAGAAGCUCGGAAUUUUCAGCCCUCUCCCACCACCACCACCACCCCCCCCCCCAUUUUCCAGAAAGGGGAGAGGGGCUGGAUACGCAGUUAAUAAUUGAUCGUGCCUACGCCCCAAGGUAUGGAGUUAGGAGAGCUUCUAGGUGGGUGGACACAUCCACGUCACAUACUAGGAGGGUGACACAGCCCAAUCCACAGGAACAGAAGUUUCUGCGCUCAGGAUUCUCCCAGACCUCACCCUAGGUGCCUCUUCAUCUGGCUGUUCAUCUGUGUCCUUUAGCACAUCCAUUAUUAUAUAGUAAACAGGUGAACAUAAGUAAGUGUUUUCUGGAGUGCUGUGAGCUGUUCUAGGAAACAAUCAAAUCCAAGGCGGAGGACGUCAUGGGAACCUCUGAUGUGUAGCCAAGUCAGACAGAAGGUGUGGGUCACCCGGAGACCUACUACGUGCAGUGCCGUCUGAAGUAGGGGCAGUCUCAGGCAACUGAGCCCUCAGCCCGUGAGAUAGGGUGCUACCUGGAGGUAGAUGGUGUCGGAGAAUUGCUUGGUGCAGAAACCUGGCCGCACCUGGUGUCAGAAGUACUGUGAGUGUGACAGUCACGUGAGAGAGGAGGAGACACGCGGGAGGACAAGUGCAGGCUUCCUGCUCGGCCACAGCUCUGGAAUCUCACAGUGCCAGGCUGCCGUGGGACAGGGUUUCCUCUGGUGACCAAGUUGUCUGCUCGCAACGGGGCGCUGCCUACAAGACCCUUCGAGUCCCGUGGCCCUGGUGCUGCAGUGACAUGGGGCGCAGGCCUUUGGGACCAACUAAUUGCCUAAAUGUGGAAGAGUCAGAAGUGAAUUCCAGGAGAAAAAACACACAUAUAUCCAUUAGCAUCUUACGAUAUUCUCCCGCCUUACAUUACAACAUAAUGUCCGAGCUAUGCUUUUGCAAAUAAACUAUUUACACGUUAUGAAUUCCUCAUUCGAUACACUGCUGUCUACAACUCUGUCAUUAAAAUUAAUAUAAUCGGCUUAACACAUUGCAGCCAGACCGAUUUCCUGAAGGCGGGUUCAUCAGAUUAGUUCAGAGCUCAGAUCCCUCCAAAGGCUCCCCUUUGUCUCUGGAACGUAGUCCAGGCUCCUGGGUUUGGCGCCGGAGAACGUUCACAACCUAUUCCCUUCUGUUUUCAUCUCUGGCUUCCACAACCUGACACGGCCGGUCACAAGCCCAUCAGAGCACCACCCCCUGAAGUGUUGCCCUGCCCCCCUGCUGCCUCUUCACACCUGUCAAGCAUAACUCUUGGGUUCAUACCCUGAAAGGGCGGACAUACGCCGGCCGACUCCAUCUUGUUCUGUGUCCUCCACCUCGAGUGACUAUGUCCCCAACAUGCCCUCUUUCCGGGAAAAUGGCAGAAACCUCAAACCACGCCUCCUCCCCUUGAGUAACCUCCUGCUCACCCGUUCAAACUUCCCGAUCAAAACAUGCCCAGAGACCUGCCGACCGGGACUCCAACCCUUCCCCAGCCAAUCAGCUGAGGCCACAGCCAUUACCUCACCAACUGCCCCUAGACCCCUAUAAAACC